rnacentral:tRNA from 1 species
GCGGGAGUAGUUCAGUGGUAGAACACUUGCCUUCCAAGCAAGUCGUCGCGGGUUCGAACCCCGUCUCCCGCU